AUCCAGCUAACGAGUCCCAAAUAGGAUGAAACGCGCAUCCUGGAU
rnacentral:hammerhead_ribozyme from 1 species